GUAAGCAUUAAUGGUGGAUACCUCGGCUCCUAAAUCGAUGAAGACCGUAGCAAACUGCGAUAAUUCACUUGAAUUGCAGACUACUGGGAUAGUCGAAUUGUUGAACGCACAUGAUAGUAUUGACUUUUCGGAGUUAAAUACUACACUGUAUUGAGAGUCGCA
rnacentral:rRNA from 2 species